UAGGCAAUCUUCUGCAAUGGACGAAAGUCUGACCUAGCAACGCCGCGUGAGUGAAGAAGGUUUUCGGAUCGUAAAACUCUGUUGUUAGAGAAGAACAAGGACGUUAGUAACUGAACGUCCCCUGACGGUAUCUAACCAGAAAGCCACGGCUAACUACGUGCCAGCAGCCGCGGUAAUACGUAGGUGGCAAGCGUUGUCCGGAUUUAUUGGGCGUAAAGCGAGCGCAGGCGGUUUCUUAAGUCUGAUGUGAAAGCCCCCGGCUCAACAGGGGAGGGUCAUUGGAAACUGGGAGACUUGAGUGCAGAAGAGGAGAGUGGAAUUCAAUGUGUAGCGGUGAAAUGAGUAGAUAUAUGGAGGAACACCAGUGGCGAAGGCGGCUCUCUGGUCUGUAACUGACGCUGAGGCUCGAAAGCGUGGGGAGAAAACAGG
rnacentral:rRNA from 1 species